UGGGGCGGGGACAUUUGCCUGCUCACUGGAGUUUAGGGAUAAAAACCAACAAAGAACAAAACAAAACAAAAACAGAAGGAUGUACUUGAAAAACUGCUGCUGGAAAAAGAGCCCGCGGUAGGCGGGUUUCGAGGGAGCACGUGACGGGAAGUGGUGUGUAAUUGGGCGGGGCCCGGAGGAAACGUUCCAAUGAACCAGGCUGAAGGUACAGGAAAUUCCGCCAUUCCCUGUUGGAUUCAGGGAGCCGCGUCUGGAACCGGGUGAGGAAGACCGCGCUAUGAGUUUGGGGACCUGAAAACUCCCCGGAGCCGUAGUCGUCGAGGAGCGGCCUGGGGAAGUCAGCAGCGCAGUGGCGGGAACCGCAGCCCGGCGGCCCUGGAACCUCCCAGGGUUUGUUGACAUGUAGUGCUGUUGACUGAAAUCCUUGUAAGCGUGGGAAUGCCUCGAGUUUCCUCACAGGGUUUUUUGCAGAGAUCUGUUGAAGUACAGCACUCGAGAUUCUGAAGGUCUCAGUUACUCCUGCUCACCUGUGAAGCAGAACCAAGAGCCCUGGGUGGUGUGAAGAGAGUGGAGGAGACAGUAGCAAAGGAUCCAGCACUGGUUGACAUGGCUCUCUCUUGUGUAACAAGUUUUUGGUGUUUUGGUGAAAUUCAGUUCAUCAUAGAAGGUUGGAUUAGUCCUGGAUCUGCCGCUGCCACUGCCAGGUGCUGUCCCUGUGGAACUACAGUGCCAUCUGAAGUCACAGCUGGGAUGACUCAUGCUUUGCUCUGUGUGGCUGUGCUUGUUCUGCACAGUUAGGACCUUUGUAAUUUUGUAAUUUGUAAAUAAUGUAAAUCUGUAGGAGUCUCUUCACUGUACCCAUGAAGUAAAUCGUGGGUAGCUUGAUUGUCAUGGAAUUUGAGUUAAUCAUAAAUCUUUUAACACUGUCAUUUUCACAGUAAUGCCUUCUUUUUCAUGUGCAUGUCUAUUUUUCAUAUCUUCUAGUGUCAUUCUAUAUUCCUUCAGUGAAUUUAAGUUUCUGUUUUAUAAGUCUUUCUUGUGCUUGGUUAGUUUUUUCUUUUUUAAUACCAUUUUUUAUUGUUGAAAUAAAACCAGAUAGUAUCAAACAAAAGUCCUACCUCCAAAUAUCUCCUCUUAAGUUCUAUUUGUACAAGUUUGUAAUGUAUAAGUAUUGGUAUUUAAUGAUUUCAUAGAUCUGUUCACUCACAGUUACCCCUUUUUACCCUUUGUCCUAUUUCUGGGUAGACACAUUUCCUUCCAAGUUGUUCUACCUGUAGUUCAUGUAUGAUUUUGACAGAUUUGUGCCAAGAAUCCCGGCCAUAAUGUACCCAUAAUUCCAACUGGAAUGUGAUAUGGGUGGGGAGUUUUUCACAUGUGAUCUCUCCAUCUUCCAGCUCUUAAAAAUCUUUUACCUCUUCUUCUGUGUUGUUCUCUGCAAUUUAGAUGUGAGAAGAUGGAAUUCCCAUUAUAGUCUGUGCAAUAAGCCGUCAAUUGUUCUUAGUAUUUGAUGAGUUAUGAGUGUUUGAAAUACUGUUGUCUAUUAAAAACAAAGUUUCUUAGACCCAGACUGAAAGUCACACCAGGCUGUGGUGUGAUUAGAACCAGUAAGAGUCAGUUUGAAUAUUUCUACAUGUAGCAGAAUGUCAGUAGAGGAUUCCCUCCGAGGGCCUGUGACGUUCACCAUCACUGGCUUUUUGCCAGGUUUCUAGUACCAUCUGUGUAUUUCCUUCUGUAUCGCCAGCUUUAGGCCAAACUAGAAGGCCUUCUGUUACCCACAAAGUAGUCUCGCCACUCUGACAGUAGGCCUUCCUUGCCUAGCAGGUUUGUAUUAUAGCACACAGGAUGCAAAUAUCUCUUUCCCCUGUUCCAACCCACAUAGCAUUUUUGACACUAUAAAUGCUACCACUGGGGAGUCUAAGAAAUUUUUUAGACACUGUGAGUGGUCUGUUUACUCCUCAGCAUCUUGUUGGUACUUAAAUAUUUAAAAGGGGGGGGCAUGUUCUGUGUGCAUUAUACAACAUAUGAGAAGGUCUAACAGAUAUUAGCUGUCUCAUGAGUAUCUCUACCUUUAAAUUUCAGGAUUCUAUUUCUUAUCUAAAAAGUCCCUCCCCCCUUUUAUUUUAUCCUAUGUUAUCAGCAUUAAAUUUUUCUCUGUCUUUGAAGUGUGUACCCACUGAUGCAAUAUUUUGAGUGUGGAAGUCACCUUUCUCUGUCCUGAUUAGGGCAAAAUGAUUCCAACUGUUGUUUUGUAUUGUUAGGUGUAAGAUUGUGUCUCAUUGUUUUUGCUGUGCUGAGGUAUAUUCCUUUUUUUUUUUUGUCACACUCUUCAGAGUUUUUAUAAUGAGCAGAUAUACUUUGCCACAGGCCCUUCAUCAAUCUAUUAGCAUGAUCGUAUUUCUUCUAUCACUGAGUCUAGAUUUGUUGCCUUACAUUGAUUAAUAUAUAGGUGUUGAAACAGUCUUGAAUUCUUGUAUUAAAUCAUCUCGCAGUCCAUUUCCAUGUAAUUUAGAGACAUUCUCUGUGUCUGUGUUGAAUCUGGAAUCUGGUCUGUGGUUUUUCUUUGAAUAUAUUUGUUUGGACUCAUCUGCUUUUGGUGUCCACGUAAAGCUAGCUUUGUAUGAUGACUUUCUAACAUCCCUUUAUGUUUUGUGCACUAUUUUCCUUGUGGUAUUAUUAUAAGGUUUGUCUAAAGGAAAGGAGAAUUCUGUGCCGGGUCUGUCCAGUACUCAGACACUGAUAGAGGAGACUUCUUGCUUCAAUCUUAGUACUGCUUAAUUCCUUUUCUAGUUAUUUACCCUGGCAGGUUGAGUUUUUUACUUGUUUCUAAGAGCUUAUCCUUUCCUUCAGUUCCAAUUUCUUUUUGUAUGACUUUCUACAGUACUCCUCCAUAAGGUAACUCUGAUGUCAUUGGGAUACACUUCAAUGCCCUUUUUUCAAUUCUAGUUCUGUUAUUUCAGGAUUCAUUCUUUUAGUUUGGAUUAGGUGAAAAAUGCUUCAUCUGUACUUUUGUCAAUUUACGGAAACAAAUUCUGUUUCCUUGACUCACUGUAUGGUCUUUAUUUCAUUGUUGUCUUUAUUUCACUAAUUUCUACACAACCUUUUUAAUAUCUUUCAAUAUACUAUUUCAGAUUGACCUAUUCUUGUGCUUGUAAACCCUCAGUUACAUUAUUAUGGAAAAAUAUUUUUUACAUCCAAUGCCCAUUGCUGCCAAAAUUUCUUAGUGUAUCUUUGUCACCCUACUUCUGUGUCAGUGUUUUUCUUCCUGACACUAUGAAAGUGUCUCUAGUACUCCAUAAAUUGUCUUACUCUUCAUUGAUUUAAUACCACAAUACCUAAUUAAGGAACAGUAAACCAAGUGCUGGAGAUUUGGCUCAGCAGUUAAGAGCACUUGUUGCGCCAGGCGGUGGUGGCGCAUGCCUUUAAUCCCAGCACUUGGGAGGCAGAGGCAGGUGGAUCUCUGUGAGUUCGAGACCAGCCUGGUCUACAGAGCUAGUUCCAGGACAGGCUCCAAAGCCACAGAGAAACCCUGUCUCAAAAAAAAAAAAAAAAAAAAAAAAAAAGCACUUGUUGCUCUUACAGUUUACAGGUUUAGUUCCCUGCACAUACAUGGUGACUUAGCUCACGUUUCAAAGGAUCGAUUGCCCGUGUAUGGCCACAGCAGGCACUUCACGUAUGAGGUGAACAAACCUCCCCACAGAAAAAUAACCAUGCACACAAACUUAAAAUAUAGAAAUUGUAAGAAAGAGAAACAGUAAAUGAUCUACAGGUGUUAUACAAGAAUUCAGGAUAACAGGACAGGAAAGAACAUGGAGGUGUCACUCCUAGUGUGAGAGUAAGUGUGGAGCCUGCAUAUGUGAUUUCAAAUGGCAAACUAAAGAAAUAAAUGUUGUCAGGUGUGUGUGUGUGUGUAUAAUUGUAUAUUAUUGUAUAUAUAUUUUAUUAUAUAAUGUAAUAUAUGUAUUAGUUUUAUUGUUUUGGGAAUUUCAUUCAUGUAUAUAUCAUAUGUUUGAUAAAAAUCACCCCCAGUCCAUCAGGUCUAAUUAACCAUACCAUAAUACUUAGCCACAUCUCCAUAUUUAUCUCUGUAUUCAUGUCUUUUGGAAUGAACUAUGUCUAUGGCAGCUUAGUUCUAUGCAUAUGAGCCACAUCUUUGAGGAAAACUGACUGCCUCUCCCAAGGCCAAUAGUUGCCUGUGAUAUCUCAUAGUGCUGUAAUGAAACAUCAGAGAACUGAGCAGAAGACAGGGUUCAUGGAACAUUUUAUGGUUGCAGAGCCUUCCAGAAUGGGCAUUUUUGGGUUUUCAAGUUCAGAGCUGGAGCUUUUUACUAUGUAAGGCAGAGCUCUGGAGGUGCUUUGUCUGGCCAUUAGGGUUGUUAGAGUGUUCUGUGUGUGGACUCUGAUAGUUGGAAGGCCUUAGUGUUAGAGCAUGACCAAUAAAUAGUAUGCCUCAAGGAGCUUACAUUCCUCCCUUUUUUGUUUACUAUUGGUAAACGGUCAGGUCGGGAAAGGUUCGUGACAUUUCAUUAGACUACUUCUUAAUUAAUGGAGGUACUCUAUUGAUACCAGUGACCUGUUUGAACAAUAACUGAAACAGGGCAUGAGGAUUAAGAAGGAAAGAGAAAGAAGAUAGAAUUGGGAGGAUUUUCAGUGAAUACUGUAGCAGCCUUGAGUUUAUUAUCAAAGCCCUUUAAUACCCAAGAAAAGGGGAAAGGCAAAAGACUUCCUUACCAUGGUUCAAGGAACAAAAAAAGCGUAAUCACCUCCUUAAUUAGCCAGACCCCCUACUAUUUAGCUUUAAGGAGCAAGCUUGAACCCUGUGACCUUGAGUCAAGAUAAAAUGGAGUCUCACUGUGGGCUCCCACAAAUAUCAAGGUCCUUGGGACCAUCUUGACCUUCACCACCAAAAUAUAAGUCUUUGACUGCAUAGCAAGAUGGUUGGUGGUAACCUGUAGUAGCAGCUUGUUUAAAGUCUGUUUAGAGCCGGGCGGUGGUGGCGCAUGCCUUUAAUCCCAGCACUCGGGAGGCAGAGGCAGUCGGUCUACAGAGCUAGUUCCAGGACAGGCUCCAAAGCCACAGAGAAACCCUGUCUCGAAGGAAAAAAAAAAAAAAAGUCUGUUUAGAAAUCUUUUCUAUCUGUUGUUGAAGAAAUCCAGACAAGAAGUUUAUAAGGUAGGGUGGGAUCAGUAGGGUUAAGAAAAGGAGGAAAAGGAGGGUUAAAAGGGUAAUAUCAAAUUCCAUUGGGCUGUCAGUGAUUCACUGAAUUCACAGAUAUUCACUGUCAUCAAGCUGUGUCUUACAUUUUUUGAAGACCCAUAUACACUUCUCAGAUCUUUUACUAUAAUUGACUUGUUGACACAGAAGCAACAUUCAUCCCUUAAGAAGAGACAAAGAUUUUUUUUAAAAUAUGUUUAUUUAUUACAUACACAAUGUUCUGCUUGCAUGUAUACUUGCAGGCCAGAAGAGGGCACCAGAUCUCAUUACAGAUGGUUGUGAGCCACCAUGUGGUUGCUGGGAAUUGAACUCAGGACCUCUGGAACAUCAGGCAGUGUUCUUAACCUCUGAGCCAUCUCUCCAGCCCAGCAAAGAUGAUCUUAUCUCUGAUGUUGGUAAAUGCAGUCCUAGUCAAUGGUGUAGCAGUAUGGCGGUCAGUGAAUCUAAUUUUAGCAUUGGAGGGUAAGGAUGAUCUGAGCCACCCAAUGGAGUUCCUGGAUGAACUUAUAUGAAAACUGACGGUAAAUAUCUAGGGAAGUAAUCAGUCCUGCCACUGCAGUUGCAAGCCAGUGGUUAUUCCCAGGACUGAGAGAAAGGGUAGGACCUGGAAGAGCUCAUUUGUUAUACCAUGCAUCUAUAAACCACGUGAUGAGAAUCAGCAAGGAUUCUUCACCAGGUAGCACUCCUAAUUUUGGAAAAGGAACAUGAGGGUACAAGAUAGGUAGGGGUUGCAAAAACUUCACCCAAAGGAGUUUCUGCCUGCUUUGGCAAGAGAAAAACCUAGAAGGGCAUAGGUAAGCUUAGAAAACCCAGCAAGUAGGCAGUGGUAAACCUGAGUGCUCAGAGGAUAGAGGUGUAAUUAAUGUUCAGAUAUAAGGGUGGCUCACAGUGCUCAAAAGUCAAAGUAUUAUUACAGUCUGAGAGUUCUAGUGUGCCCAAAAAUUGUGUCCCUGAGGGUUUAUAUAGUCUGCAGUACUCGAGAAAGGUAUGGGAGAGAUAGAGCAUGGUACUGAUAAUAGGCUCAGAGCAAUUAAUGAGAGGUGAGAUGACCAUCUGAUAGUCCAGUUGUGAGUCUAAGAAUGGUGGUCAUGAAUUUGACCCUGAAGGGACACACAGCCAGCCCUUUCUGAAGCAGGCAAGCAGAGUAUUAUUUGGUAGCUGAUAUGCAAUUACAGUGGCUCAGGUUUGUCCCAUGGGAUUUGCAGGACUGAUAUGGGUAACAUCUUUAAAUUUCUGGUCACUUUUUACAGUAGUCUUCCCUUUUGUAAUAAAGAAAAGCAACAUAGAGGUUAAGCCUUAGUGAAGGAAAAUCAGAUAAGGGAGUGGUAGGGGACUGAGUCAAUUUGCCUUUGACAACCUGAUACGGUGCAUAUUCCUGACACCGUUAAGUAGAGGUAGGGCCCCCUUAUACAUUAAACAUCUGUAAGUAAUAGCAGGUGUAGACAAGAAGAAAUAGAGGGGGAGAGAGGAAGUUGAGACAAAAAAGAUUUUCAUAUCAUUUGUGCACUGGCAGAAGUUGUCACCAUUGAAAAUCCAGCAUGUCAAUUUUGACUAUUGAACUGUACUGAGACCAAGUUGAAGUAACAGAGCAAAACUUUAAUGAUAAUGAAAUCUGAGUCCCCGAAGAAAGAUAGGUAGGGUUGCAAAAACUUCACCCAAAGGAGUUUCUGCCUGCUUUGGCAAGAGAAAAACCCAGAAGGGCAUAGGUAAGCUGUGAGACUUCCAGGAUGGAGCGGAGAGACAAGAGGGACAAGAUCACAGAGGCUUAAGGAAGUUAUGCAGCUUAACAGGCUUCUCCUUGGGGGACAAGCUAAGGAGAUAAGGUUGUUGGCUCCAAUAGAGGGAGAGGAGCAAAUGUCUUAAUAACUAGAGAGCUGUCCAUAUGGUAAUGCUCCAGAGGGCAUAACAGGCUCCUGAAGCAAGCAAGAAGCCACUUACUCAGUAGGUGAUGAGCGAUGGAGGAUGGGUCAGGUGGAGGGAAUAGGCACAUGAUGUGGCCAACUCUAGAAUUUGGAAAUGAAUAUGAUGGGUGACCGAAGUCAGCAGAAACAAUUGGUUCAUACACACCUCAAGACAGUCAGUUUGAGAUGUUGAGACACGGCAUGGCUAAAAGUUCAGUGUGGCAACUUCUACCUGUGCUACGUGAAGACAGAACUCUGGAAGGAAGUAUUGUUUGCAGACAUUUGUUUGUUAGAUGGUGGGACAGGGAGUGAGGAGAGAAGACAGCAAUAGGUAAACCAAAGUUUAGCUUCUUUCAUUUGUUUAAAAGAAGUUAAGCUAUGGCAAGGGAAUUCUUUUUAUAUAGGAGUGCAUAGAGGUGUAGCUUGAAUACUAUAUUAAAGAAACAUUGUUUUUAAUUCUGUCUUUGGUAAAUGGAAUCCAAUGACUAGAAAGUCCAGAGAUAAAUGUUGCACUCUGACUAUCAGAGCAGGCAUAGCAAGCAGCAUUAGUGGGGGUAUCUUGAUGUUAACAGUGGCAAAGAAUGCAAAAUAAAACCAAUAAACACAGAACAAUGACUGCUCACAUACUUAAAGAAGACCAGUGAUAAAUAAAACAUACAGUGGCCACUGUCAUACAUUCAACUUUUACUGAACAAUUUCCA